AACGAACGCUGGCGGCAUGCCUAACACAUGCAAGUCGAACGAGACCUUCGGUCUAGUGGCGCACGGGUGCGUAACGCGUGGGAAUCUGCCCUUGGGUUCGGAAUAACAGCGAGAAAUUGCUGCUAAUACCGGAUGAUGACGUAAGUCCAAAGAUUUAUCGCCCAAGGAUGAGCCCGCGUAGGAUUAGCUAGUUGGUGAGGUAAAGGCUCACCAAGGCGACGAUCCUUAGCUGGUCUGAGAGGAUGAUCAGCCACACUGGGACUGAGACACGGCCCAGACUCCUACGGGAGGCAGCAGUGGGGAAUAUUGGACAAUGGGCGAAAGCCUGAUCCAGCAAUGCCGCGUGAGUGAUGAAGGCCUUAGGGUUGUAAAGCUCUUUUACCCGAGAUGAUAAUGACAGUAUCGGGAGAAUAAGCUCCGGGCUAACUCCGUAGCCAGCAGCCGCGGUAAU
rnacentral:rRNA from 1 species